rnacentral:rRNA from 1 species
AGAGUUUGAUCAUGGCUCAGAACGAACGCUGGCGGCAGGCCUAACACAUGCAAGUCGAACGUGAAGCCACCUUCGGGUGGUGGAAGGUGGCAGACGGGUGAGUAACGCGUGGGAACGUGCCUUUCGGUUCGGGAUAACCCAGGGAAACUUGGGCUAAUACCGGAUACGCCCUCCGGGGGAAAGAUUCAUUGCCGAAAGAUCGGCCCGCGUCGGAUUAGCUAGUUGGUGGGGUAAAAGCCUACCAAGGCGACGAUCCGUAGCUGGUCUGAGAGGAUGACCAGCCACACUGGGACUGAGAUACGGCCCAGACUCCUACGGGAGGCAGCAGUGGGGAAUAUUGGACAAUGGGCGCAAGCCUGAUCCAGCCAUGCCGCGUGGGUGAAGAAGGCCCUAGGGUUGUAAACCCCUUUCAGCGGGGAAGAUAAUGACGGUACCCGCAGAAGAAGCCCCGGCUAACUCCGUGCCAGCAGCGGCGGUAAUUC